UUUUUAAGCAGCUACCAACCCCCAAGAGCAAACCCGUCCCUGUAGCAAAAGGGUGGGAAGACUUAAAAAUAGAGGCAAAAAGCCAACCGAGCUUGGUGAUAGCUGGCUACUCAACAAAAGAAUUUAAGUUCAACUUUAGGCACUCAAUGAGCCACCUCUUAUUUGAUAAAACUCACUCCCUCUAUACCUAAAGAAAAUCAAUGGGGGUACAGCCCCAUUGAACCGGAAUACAGCCCGAACUGAGAGAAAGCACCCUUCUUUACCCGUAGGCUUCAAAGCAGCCACCAAAUAAUUGCGUUAUAGCAUAUUUACUAAACAAUUCUAACAAUUUAACUAACCUCCUAAUUUAUAAUGAGUUAUUCUAUACUGUUAUAGAAAUACCAAUGCUAAAAUUAGUAAUAAGAAACACUUAUUUCUCUGUGCACCUCCUUAAAUCAGACUAGAAAAACUACUGACAAUUAACAAACCAAACAAACACCCAUAACUUAUUCUAGCCGAAGUGUUACUAAAAACUUGUUACCCCCACACAGGCGUGCAAAAAAGAAAGACAAAAAGCCGCAAAAGGAACUCGGCAAAACUUAACCCCAACUGUUUACCAAAAACAUAGCCUUUAGCCCCACAAGUAUUAAAGGUUCCGCCUGCCCAGUGACUCUUUAAACGGCCGCGGUAUCCUAACCGUGCAAAGGUAGCAUAAUCACUUGUCCCUUAAAUAGGGACUGGAAUGAAUGGCUAAAUGAGGGUUAAACUGUCUCUUGCGAGCUGGUCAAUGAACUUGAUUUUCCAGUAAAAAAGCUGGAAUAAACACAUAAGACGAGAAGACCCUGUGGAGCUUCAAAACCAAGUUCAUUAAACUAAUGCUUCCUUAGGUUUUCAGUUGGGGCGACUUUGGAGUACAAAAAAACCUCCAAACCAUGUGAAACCCACUAUAUUAAGAACAACAAACCAAAAACUACAAACGACCCAGCAAUCAGCCCUCACUGUUGUCUGAUCAAUGAACCAAGUUACCCCAGGGAUAACAGCGCCAUCCCCUUCUAGAGUCCCUAUCGACAAGGGGGUUUACGACCUCGAUGUUGGAUCAGGACAUCCCAAUGGUGCAGCCGCCAUUAAGGGUUCGUUUGUUCAACGAUUAAAGUCCUA
rnacentral:rRNA from 1 species